GACGAACGCUGGCGGCGUGCUUAACACAUGCAAGUCGAACGGAAAGGCCCUGCUUUUGUGGGGUGCUCGAGUGGCGAACGGGUGAGUAACACGUGAGUAACCUGCCCUUGACUUUGGGAUAACUUCAGGAAACUGGGGCUAAUACCGGAUAGGAGCUCCUGCUGCAUGGUGGGGGUUGGAAAGUUUCGGCGGUUGGGGAUGGACUCGCGGCUUAUCAGCUUGUUGGUGGGGUAGUGGCUUACCAAGGCUUUGACGGGUAGCCGGCCUGAGAGGGUGUCCGGCCACAUUGGGACUGAGAUACGGCCCAGACUCCUACGGGAGGCAGCAGUGGGGAAUAUUGCACAAUGGGCGGAAGCCUGAUGCAGCAACGCCGCGUGCGGGAUGACGGCCUUCGGGUUGUAAACCGCUUUCGCCUGUGACGAAGCGUGAGUGACGGUAAUGGGUAAAGAAACACCGGCUAACUACGUG
rnacentral:rRNA from 1 species